rnacentral:rRNA from 1 species
AUUUAAACCUCUUCCAGAGUAUCAAUUGGAGGGCAAGUCUGGUGCCAGCAGCCGCGGUAAUUCCAGCUCCAAUAGCGUAUAUUAAAAUUGUUGCAGUUAAAAAGCUCGUAGUUGAAUUUCUGCUGUAUUGCAUUUUCUCUUUUUAUAUGAGUUUUUGCAUUAUGGCUUAUUUCAGUAUUAAUUUUUUAUUAUUACUGAAUGUUUACUUUGAGAAAAUUAGAGUGCUCAAAGCAGGCUUUUGCCUUGAAUAGUUUAGCAUGGAAUAAUAAAGUAGGACUUUGGUUCUAUUUUGUUGGUUUUAGGUACCAAAGUAAUGGUUAAUAGGAACAGUUGGGGGCAUUCGUAUUUAACUGUCAGAGGUGAAAUUCUUAGAUUUGUUAAAGACGAACUACUGCGAAAGCAUUUGCCAAGGAUGUUUUCAUUAAUCAAGAACGAAAGUUAGGGGAUCGAAGA